UUAUUUGAGAGUUUGAUCCUGGCUCAGGAUGAACGCUGGCGGCGUGCCUAACACAUGCAAGUUGAGCGAUUUACUUCGGUAAAGAGCGGCGGACGGGUGAGUAACGCGUGGGUAACCUACCCUGUACACACGGAUAACAUACCGAAAGGUAUGCUAAUACGGGAUAAUAUAUUUGAGAGGCAUCUCUUGAAUAUCAAAGGUGAGCCAGUACAGGAUGGACCCGCGUCUGAUUAG
rnacentral:rRNA from 1 species